GUGGGUAUAACUCAGCGGUAAGAGUGUGUGCUUAGCAUGCACGAGCUCCUGGCUUCAAUUCCCAGUACCUCCA
rnacentral:tRNA from 1 species